UAGGGAAUAUUAGAAAUGGACGAAAGUCUGAUCUAGCAACACCGCGUGUGCGAAGAAGGCCUUCGGGUUGUCAAGCCCUUUUUGGAAGGAUUAGGAAGGAAUGUACUUCCAGAAUAAGUCUCGGCUAACUACGUGCCAGCAGCCGCGGUAACACGUAGGAGGCAACCGUUAUCCGGAUUUACUGGGCGUAAAGCGCGUGUAGGUGGUUCGGUAAGUAGGGCGGGAAAGCUCCUGGCUCAACUGGGAGAGGCCGUUCUAAACUGCAGAGCUAGAGGAUGGUAGAGGGAUGUGGAAUUCCGGGUGUAGCGGUGGAAUGCGCAGAUAUCCGGAGGAACACCAGUGGCGAAAGCGGCCUCCUGGACCAUUCCUGACACUCAGACGCGAAAGCUAGGGUAGCAAACG
rnacentral:rRNA from 1 species